rnacentral:rRNA from 1 species
CCCUUAGAUGUUCUGGGCCGCACGCGUGCUACACUGAGUGGAUCAGCGGGUCAGGUUGCGCGAAAGCGUUUCCUAAUCUUUAAAUCCGCUGUGAUGGGGAUUGACGGUUGCAAUUUUCUGUCAUGAACGAGGAAUACCUUGUAAGCGCGGGUCAUCAUCCCGCGCUGAAUACGUCCCUACCCUUUGUACACACCGCCCGUCGCUCCUACCGAUUGAGUGGUCCGGUGAGGCUUUGGGAUCUGAGCGGAAAGAGCGUUUCGCUGUUUCUGCUCGGAAAACUCAGUCGAACCUUAUCAUUUAGAGGAAGGAGAAGUCGUAACA